rnacentral:lncRNA from 1 species
AUUUAUCUCCAGAAGAAACCCAAAACUUGGUCUUCAACAGCUGAGAUCCAUCCUGAGCCUGGUCAUAACCAUUAGAUUUUGUGGCUAAUUG